AGAAAAUCCAAGAGUACCCAGACCAGGGCUCCAAGCAGAGUGUCCUGCUGAAAGCAGACGAUAAUGCCUCUCUCAUCUCAGAUCAAGGUUUAAGCGGACCAGAAGACAAUGGAUGGGACAUUUGCUUCAGUGGUAACCUGCAUAUCAUCUUGCCCUUGAGGAGCAAGUGAGGAGAAGCAGCAAGGCCAGCCACUCUGGAAACACUGCUGGAUGCUGACUAUGCCAGGUCUCCCGCAAUACCCAAAUAAGAGAUGUGGCUGCUGGGUUCACCUGUCCUACACUGCAAGCUUCAAGAGGGAUAUGAUGAGGCCGGGUACAGUGGCUCACAACUGUAAUCCCAGCAGUUUGGGAGGCUGAGGGAGGAGGAUUGCUUGAGUCCAGGAGUUCAAGAUCAGCCUAGGCAACAUAGUAAGACCCCAAGUCUACAAAAACAUAAAACUGAAAAAUUAGCCCGGUGGUAGUGCACAGCUGUAGUCCCAGUUACUCAGGAGGUACUGAGGUGGGAAGAUCAGCUGAGCCCAGGAGGUCAAGGAUAAGGCUGCAGUGAGCCACGAUCACACCACUGCACUCCAGCUUGGGUGACAGAGUAAGACACUGUCCCAAAGAAAAAAAAAAAGAGGGAAAGGACUAUGCAUCCUCAGUGCUAGCACACUACCUGACACCUGACACAGAGUAAGCACCAAUGAGUAUUUUUAAACAAAGCGUGUGUGUAGGUAGGGACAGGGCUGGGGUUGGAGAGAAGGGUGUCAACAGAUUUGAUCCUGGGUAGACCUUGCCCAGACACCAAAAUGUUAACCAGAUUAGGUGGGUUCAUUCUGACAAUACCUGAGUGAGCUUAUUUGACUCAAUAGUUUAGAAAGCAGGCAAAUUAACC
rnacentral:lncRNA from 1 species